CUUAACCCGUGAUUGCUGGGGUUGGCUCUCGCUCCUCCAGGGGCCGUCGCUCUUUUACAAAGAGGGGUGGAGGUUGUUGUUGCUUUUUUUUUUUUUCCUUUAUGAAUGGAGGGCGGCGGCGACUGCUGCAGCUGGUUCAGCUGCGCGGGCUGUACCCCCUCCCAGCCUGCGAGAGGAGGAAGCUAGUGGAGGACCUGCAACGACAAAACCAAAGAAUAAAGCAAGAGGAUAGACAUCAUGGAAAUAACUACAUGGACCUCAGGGACAUCUUUGAGCAACAUUGUGAUUGGAUUCAACCAGGAACAACAGUUUUAAGGUUUAAUGGCUGCUCCAGUGACAUCUGCAUUAAUGAGGGGGAAAAGAAAAAGGAUCCCUCAUUGAUGGAGAAAGAGUCCCCCUGGGUAGUGAAAGGGUUAAAAGCACACACCCGUGAAGUGGGGAGACCGUGGCUGGAACCCAGGGAACCCGAGUGUACUGGCCCCCUCUCCACUGCUGACUGCUGUGGCUGA
rnacentral:lncRNA from 1 species